GAAACAACAAUAAUUCAUAUUGCUAUUUAUAUUGUAGCUAUUUGAAAUGGCUAAAUUUCAUUUCUUUCUAUUCAUCGUCUUUGCCGUUAUUUUUUCAGUUAUGACUAUUGGUGCAAAUGGACAACAAAAAAGAUGUAUUGAACUCAUCUCAAAAGAUUCAUGUUUACUCCCGGCAUGCAGAAAGACGUGCUAUUUAAAAUAUCCGAAUAAAAAUGGUUUUGGACAGUGUGUUAGUGCAAACCCUUUUACACCAUAUAGUUGUAUUUGCGCAUAUGAUUGUCAAACCUAGAACAAAAAUAUGAUAGUUGCUCUAUAUUUAAUGUAAAAGCAUAUCAAAAUAUAGUUAAUAAAUUUCACAAAUUUACAAUUUA